UCGAACAGACCUAAAAUUUUUAGCUCCUACACCAAAAUUUUAUUUUAAUCCAACAUCGAGGUCGCAAUCCCUUUUUUCGAUUUGAACUCUUUAAAAAAAUUACGCUGUUAUCCCUAAGGUAAUUUACUCUUAUAAUCUUUACUUAAGGAUCACAUAUUCAUAAAUAAAUGUUUAAAUAUAAAAAAAGUUUACUAAAUUUUUAAAUCACCCCAACCAAAUUAAUUUUUAUAUAAAAAAUAAUUAAUACUAAAAUUAUUCACAUAAAUUUUAAUAAAACUCUAUAGGGUCUUCUCGUCUUUUAUUUUAAUUUAAGCUUUCUUACUUAAAAAUAAAAUUCUAAUAAAUUCAAAUAGAGACAGUCAUUUUUCCAUCAAACCUUUCAUUCCAGCUUUCAAUUAAAAAACUAAUUAUUAUGCUACCUUUGCACGGUCAGGGUACCGCGGCCAUUUAAUAUUCAUAGGGCAGGUCAGACCUUAAAUUAUAUUCA
rnacentral:rRNA from 1 species